ACUCCUACGGGGGGCAGCAGUGGGGAAUAUUGCGCAAUGGAGGAAACUCUGACGCAGCAACGCCGCGUGAGUGAUGAAGGCCCUCGGGUCGUAAAGCUCUGUUGGGAGGGAAGAAAUUUGACGGUACCUCCAAAGAAAGCACCGGCUAACUCCGUGCCAGCAGCCGCGGUAA
rnacentral:rRNA from 1 species